rnacentral:rRNA from 1 species
UGGGCCUACGGGGGGCAGCAGUGAGGAAUAUUGGUCAAUGGGCGGGAGCCUGAACCAGCCAAGUCGCGUGAAGGAAGAAGGUACUUAGUAUUGUAAACUUCUUUUGUCGGGGAACAAAGGCGGAGACGCGUCUCCGGAUGAGUGUACCCGAAGAAAAAGCAUCGGCUAACUCCGUGCCAGCAGCCGCGGUAAUACGGAGGAUGCGAGCGUUAUCCGGAUUUAUUGGGUUUAAAGGGUGCGCAGGCGGAGGUGCAAGUCAGUGGUCAAAUUGCGGGGCUCAACCCCGUACUGCCGUUGAAACUGCA